rnacentral:rRNA from 1 species
CAAUAAGCGGAGGAAAAGAAACACAACAGGGAUUGCCCUAGUAACGGCGAGUGAAGCGGCAACAGCUCAAAUUUGAAAUCUGGCGUAAGCCCGAGUUGUAAUUUGUAGAGGAUGCUUCUGGGUAGCGACCGAUCUAAGUUCCUUGGAACAGGACGUCAUAGAGGGUGAGAAUCCCGUAUGUGACCGGCCCGCACCCUUUACGUAGCUCCUUCGACGAGUCGAGUUGUUUGGGAAUGCAGCUCUAAAUGGGAGGUAAAUUUCUUCUAAAGCUAAAUACCGGCCAGAGACCGAUAGCGCACAAGUAGAGUGAUCGAAAGAUGAAAAGUACUUUGGAAAGAGAGUUAAAAAGCACGUGAAAUUGUUGAAAGGGAAGCGCCUGCAACCAGACUUCGUGGCAGUGUUCCGCCGGUCUUCUGACCGGUUUAUUCUCUGUCGCGAGGCCAUCAUCGUCUAGGCCCGCCGGAUAAGACCUUAGGAAUGUAGCUCACCUUCGGGGGAGUGUUAUAGCUUAUGGUGAUGCGGCGAGGCUUGGGCGAGGUCCGCGCUUCGGCAAGGAUGAUGGCGUAAUGGUUGUCGGCGGCCCGUCUUGAAACACGGACCAAGGAGUCUAACAUCUAUGCGAGUGUUCGGGUGUCAAACCCCUACGCGUAAUGAAAGUGAACGGAGGUGGGAACCGCAAGGUGCACCAUCGACCGAUCCUGAUGUCCUCGGAUGGAUUUGAGUAAGAGCAUAGCUGUUGGGACCCGAAAGAUGGUGAACUAUGCCUGAAUAGGGUGAAGCCAGAGGAAACUCUGGUGGAGGCUCGCAGCGGUUCUGACGUGCAAAUCGAUCGUCAAAUUUGGGUAUAGGGGCGAAAGACUAAUCGAACCAU